rnacentral:rRNA from 1 species
AGAACCUUACCUACCCUUGACAUGUACGGAAGCCCGAUGAGAGCCGGGUGUGCCCGAAAGGGAGCCGUAACACAGGUGCUGCAUGGCUGUCGUCAGCUCGUGUCGUGAGAUGUUGGGUUAAGUCCCGCAACGAGCGCAACCCUCAUCUUCAGUUGCCAUCAGGUUAUGCUGGGCACUCUGAAGGAACUGCCGGUGACAAGCCGGAGGAAGGCGGGGAUGACGUCAAGUCCUCAUGGCCUUUAUGGGCUGGGCUACACACGUGCUACAAUGGCGGUGACAGAGGGACGCGAAGGGGCAACCCCUAGCCAAUCUCAAAAAGCCGUCUCAGUUCGGAUUGUCCUCUGCAACUCGAGGGCAUGAAGCUGGAAUCGCUAGUAAUCGCGGAUCAGAACGCCGCGGUGAAUACGUUCCCGGGCCUUGUCACACCGA